UGUGAGGUUAAGCGACUAAGCGUACACGGUGGAUGCCCUGGCAGUCAGAGGCGAUGAAGGGCGUGCUAAUCUGCGAUAAGCGCCGGUAAGGUGAUAUGAACCGUUAUAACCGGCGAUACCCGAAUGGGGAAACCCAGUGUGACUCGUCACACUAUCAUUAACUGAAUCCAUAGGUUAAUGAGGCGAACCGGGGGAACUGAAACAUCUAAGUACCCCGAGGAAAAGAAAUCAACCGAGAUUCCCCCAGUAGCGGCGAGCGAACGGGGAGGAGCCCAGAGCCUGAAUCAGCAUGUGUGUUAGUGGAAGCGUCUGGAAAGGCGCGCGAUACAGGGUGACAGCCCCGUACACAAAAGCGCAUGUGCUGUGAGCUCGAUGAGUAGGGCGGGACACGUGGUAUCCUGUCUGAAUAUGGGGGGACCAUCCUCCAAGGCUAAAUACUCCUGACUGACCGAUAGUGAACCAGUACCGUGAGGGAAAGGCGAAAAGAACCCCGGCGAGGGGAGUGAAAAAGAACCUGAAACCGUGU
rnacentral:rRNA from 1 species